GGCCUAACACAUGCAAGUCGAGCGGAAACGACACUAACAAUCCUUCGGGUGCGUUAAUGGGCGUCGAGCGGCGGACGGGUGAGUAAUGCCUAGGAAAUUGCCUUGAUGUGGGGGAUAACCAUUGGAAACGAUGGCUAAUACCGCAUGAUGCCUACGGGCCAAAGAGGGGGACCUUCGGGCCUCUCGCGUCAAGAUAUGCCUAGGUGGGAUUAGCUAGUUGGUGAGGUAAUGGCUCACCAAGGCGACGAUCCCUAGCUGGUCUGAGAGGAUGAUCAGCCACACUGGAACUGAGACACGGUCCAGACUCCUACGGGAGGCAGCAGUGGGGAAUAUUGCACAAUGGGCGAAAGCCUGAUGCAGCCAUGCCGCGUGUAUGAAGAAGGCCUUCGGGUUGUAAAGUACUUUCAGUUGUGAGGAAGGGUGUGUAGUUAAUAGCUGCGCAUCUUGACGUUAGCAACAGAAGAAGCACCGGCUAACUCCGUGCCAGCAGCCGCGGUAAUACGGAGGGUGCGAGCGUUAAUCGGAAUUACUGGGCGUAAAGCGCAUGCAGGUGGUUCAUUAAGUCAGAUGUGAAAGCCCGGGGCUCAACCUCGGAACUGCAUUUGAAACUGGUGAACUAGAGUACUGUAGAGGGGGGUAGAAUUUCAGGUGUAGCGGUGAAAUGCGUAGAGAUCUGAAGGAAUACCAGUGGCGAAGGCGGCCCCCUGGACAGAUACUGACACUCAGAUGCGAAAGCGUGGGGAGCAAACAGGAUUAAAUACCCUGGU
rnacentral:rRNA from 1 species